rnacentral:snoRNA from 7 species
CCUGCCCCUACCAGCAUUGCAGUUGUGGCUGCUCUGUUGCAUAUGUGUCAGCAGGUGGCAGAGAGGAGAGAGGCUGUGUCUAUGCUCAGUGUCCUGACCUGUGAACAUCUGAAUGAUUAGUAACCUCACAUU